CCUACGGGUGGCUGCAGUGGGGAAUAUUGCACAAUGGGGGAAAGCCUGAUGCAGCGACGCCGCGUGAGUGAAGACGUAUCUCGGUACGUAAAGCUCUAUCAGCAGGGAAGAAAAUGACGGUACCUGACUAAGAAGCCCCGGGUAAAUACGUGCCAGCAGCCGGGGUAAUACGUAGGGGGCCAGCGGUAUCCGGAUUUUCUGGGUGUAAAGGGAGCGUAGACGGGAGGACAAGUCUGGAGUGAAAUCCCGGGGCUUAACGCCGGAAGUGCUGUGGACACGGGGCGGCUGGAGUGGAGGAGGGGUAAGCGGAAUGCGUGGUGUAGCGGUGGAAUGCGUAGAUAUGAGGAGGAACACCGGUGGCGAAGGCGGGUUACUGGACUGUAACUGACGUUGAGGCUCGAAAGCGUGGGGAGCGAACAGGAUUAGAUACCCCAGUAGUC
rnacentral:rRNA from 1 species